rnacentral:rRNA from 1 species
CGUGUGCCCAGCAGAGCCCGCGGUAAAUUACGGAGAGCGUGCCGAAGCGGUAAAUUCGAGAUUACUGGGCGUAAAGCGCGCGUAGGCGGCGUGAUAAGCCGGUUGUGAAAGCCCCGGGCUCAACCUGGGAACGGCAUCCGGAACUGUCAGGCUAGAGUGCAGGAGAGGAAGGUAGAAUUCCCGGUGUAGCGGUGAAAUGCGUAGAGAUCGGGAGGAAUACCAGUGGCGAAGGCGGCCUUCUGGACUGACACUGACGCUGAGGUGCGAAAGCGUGGGUAGCAAACAGGAUUAGAUACCCUGGUAGUCCACGCCGUAAACGAUGUCGACUAGCCGUUGGGGUCCUUGUGACCUUUGUGGCGCAGUUAACGCGAUAAGUCGACCGCCUGGGGAGUACGGCCGCAAGGUUAAAACUCAAAUGAAUUGACGGGGGCCCGCACAAGCGGUGGAGCAUGUGGUUUAAUUCGAUGCAACGCGAAGAACCUUACCUACUCUUGACAUCGUGCGAACUUUCCAGAGAUGGAUUGGUGCCUUCGGGAACGCACAGACAGGUGCUGCAUGGCCGUCGUCAGCUCGUGUUGUGAAAUGUUGGGUUAAGUCCCGUAACGAGCGCAACCCUUGUCCCUAUUUGCCAGCGAUUCGGUCGGGAACUCUAGGGAGACUGCCGGUGACAAACCGGAGGAAGGUGGGGACGACGUCAGGUCAUCAUGGCCCUUACGAGUAGGGCUACACACGUGCUACAAUGGCCGGUACAAAGGGUUGCGAAGCCGCGAGGUGGAGCUAAUCCCGAAAAGCCGGUCUCAGUCCGGAUCGGAGUCUGCAACUCGACUCCGUGAAGUCGGAAUCGCUAGUAAUCGUGAAUCAGAAUGUCACGGUGAAUACGUUCCCGGGCCUUGUACACACCGCCCGUCACACCAUGGGAGUGGACUGCACCAGAAGUGGUUAGCCUA